UACGGAGGGUGCGAGCGUUGUCCGGAAUCACUGGGCGUAAAGGGCGCGUAGGUGGCGCGGGAAGUCAACGGUGAAAGUUCAGGGCUCAACCCUGAAUCGGCCGUCGAUACUCCCGGGCUUGAGCACUGUAGAGGCAGAUGGAAUUCCGGGUGUAGCGGUGGAAUGCGUAGAGAUCCGGAAGAACACCGGUGGCGAAGGCGGUCUGCUGGGCAGUUGCUGACACUGAUGCGCGACAGCGUGGGGAGCA
rnacentral:rRNA from 1 species